rnacentral:rRNA from 1 species
AGGACGAACGCUGGCGGCGUGCUUAACACAUGCAAGUCGAGCGGAAAGGCCCUUCGGGGUACUCGAGCGGCGAACGGGUGAGUAACACGUGAGCAACCUGCCCUUAGCUUCGGGAUAGCUCCGGGAAACCGGAAUUAAUACCUAAUAUGACUUUGGCUGACAUCAGCAGAAGUGGAAAGUUUUUCGGCUAGGGAUGGACUCGCGGCCUAUCAGCUAGUUGGUGAGGUAACGGCCCACCAAGGCGACGACGGGUA